rnacentral:rRNA from 1 species
UACGUAGGGUGCAAGCGUUGUCCGGAAUUAUUGGGCGUAAAGAGCUCGUAGGCGGUGUGUCGCGUCGGCUGUGAAAACCCGGAGCUCAACUCCGGGCCGGCAGUCGAUACGGGCAGACUGGAGUGUUGCAGGGGAGACUGGAAUUCCUGGUGUAGCGGUGAAAUGCGCAGAUAUCAGGAGGAACACCGGUGGCGAAGGCGGGUCUCUGGGCAACAACUGACGCUGAGGAGCGAAAGCGUGGGGAGCGAACAGG